CCCUAAAGCAGUUUGGCCAGAAGAAGUUGUUGUGCAUUAAUUUUUCAUGAGUUUGGUCAUGCACUCCAACAUAUGCUCACUAAGGAAGAUGAGGGGCUGGUUUCUGGUAUUUGGGGGAUAGAAUGGGAUGCUGUUGAAUUGCCUUCUCAGUUCAUGGAGAAUUGGUGUUACCAAAGGGAUACGUUGAUGAGCCUUGCGAAACAGUAUGAAACUGGAGAGACGCUCCCAGAAGAAGUCUACUUGAAACUUCUUGCAGCAAGGACUUUCCAUGCAGGGACACAGAGCCAUAGUUGACAGCAUUUGCAAGUACAGAUUUGGAGCUUCAUGGGAGUUACAUUCAUGGUGGGUCAGAAUCCAUCUUUGAUAUUGAUCGAAGAGUGGGCGAGAAAACUCAAGUUAUUGCACCACUGCCAAAGGAUAGGUUUCUUUGUGGUUUUAGUCACAUC